ACUGCACCCAGAGGCGUUGCAGGUGUGGCUGCUGUGCCCAUUUGCGUCAUGAGGUGGCAGAGAGCAGAGAGGCUGGUGUUCGCUCAGCGUUCUGGCCGUGAACGUCUGAAGACUGACGGCCUGACACU